rnacentral:rRNA from 1 species
CGAGUUUGAUACGUGGCUCAGAUUGAACGCUGGCGGCAUGGCUUACACAUGCAAGUCGAACGGCAGCGCGGGCUUCGGCCUGGCGGCGAGUGGCGAACGGGUGAGUAAUACAUCGGAACGUGCCCUGUCGUGGGGGAUAACUAGUCGAAAGAUUAGCUAAUACCGCAUACGACCUGAGGGUGAAAGCGGGGGACCGGUAACGGCCUCGCGCGAUAGGAGCGGCCGAUGUCUGAUUAGCUAGUUGGUGGGGUAAAGGCCUACCAAGGCGACGAUCAGUAGCUGGUCUGAGAGGACGAUCAGCCACACUGGGACUGAGACACGGCCCAGACUCCUACGGGAGGCAGCAGUGGGGAAUUUUGGACAAUGGGGGCAACCCUGAUCCAGCAAUGCCGCGUGUGUGAAGAAGGCCUUCGGGUUGUAAAGCACUUUUGUCCGGAAAGAAAUGGCUCUGGCUAAUACCCGGGGUCGAUGACGGUACCGGAAGAAUAAGCACCGGCUAACUACGUGCCAGCAGCCGCGGUAAUACGUAGGGUGCGAGCGUUAAUCGGAAUUACUGGGCGUAAAGCGUGCGCAGGCGGUUUGAUAAGACAGGCGUGAAAUCCCCGGGCUCAACCUGGGAAUGGCGCUUGUGACUGUCAGGCUAGAGUGCGUCAGAGGGGGGUAGAAUCCACGUGUAGCAGUGAAAUGCGUAGAGAUGUGGAGGAAUACCGAUG